rnacentral:rRNA from 1 species
GACGAACGCUGGCGGCGUGCUUAACACAUGCAAGUCGAACGGUAAGGCCCUUCGGGGUACACGAGUGGCGAACGGGUGAGUAACACGUGGGUGAUCUGCCCUGCACUUCGGGAUAAGCCUGGGAAACUGGGUCUAAUACCGGAUAGGACCACUGCCUGCAUGGGUGGUGGUGGAAAGCUUUUGCGGUGUGGGAUGGGCCCGCGGCCUAUCAGCUUGUUGGUGGGGUGAUGGCCUACCAAGGCGACGACGGGUAGCCGGCCUGAGAGGGUGACCGGCCACACUGGGACUGAGAUACGGCCCAGACUCCUACGGGAGGCAGCAGUGGGGAAUAUUGCACAAUGGGCGCAAGCCUGAUGCAGCGACGCCGCGUGAGGGAUGAAGGCCUUCGGGUUGUAAACCGCUUUCAGCAGGGAAGAAGCGAAAGUGACGGUACCUGCAGAAGAAGCACCGGCUAACUACGUGCCAGCCGCCGCGGUAA